GAUGAAGAACGCAGCGAAAUGUGAUAAGUAAUGCGAAUUGCAGAAUUCAGUGAAUCAUCGAAUCUUUGAACGCACAUUGCGCCCGCCAGUAUUCUGGCGAGCAUGCCUGUUCGAGCGUCAUUUCAACCAUCAAGCCCCAGGCUUGUGUUGGAGCCCUGCGGCUGCCGCAGCCUCCCAAAACCAGUGGCGGGCUCGCUAUCACACCGAGUGCAGUAGUUUACUCUUCGCUCAGGGCGUGUGGCGGGUGCUAGCCGUGAAACCCCCAACUUCUCAAGGUUGACCUCGGAUCAGGCAGGAAUACCCGCUGAACUUAAGCAUAUCAAUAAGCGGAGGA
rnacentral:misc_RNA from 1 species